rnacentral:rRNA from 1 species
GGCGGACGGGUGAGUAACGCGUGGGAACGUGCCCUUUUCUUCGGAAUAGCCUCGGGAAACUGAGAUUAAUGCCGGAUACGCCCUUUUGGGGAAAGAUUUAUCGGAGAAGGAUCGGCCCGCGUCUGAUUAGGUAGUUGGUGGGGUAAUGGCCUACCAAGCCGACGAUCAGUAGCUGGUUUGAGAGGAUGAUCAGCCACACUGGGACUGAGACACGGCCCAGACUCCUACGGGAGGCAGCAGUGGGGAAUCUUGGACAAUGGGGGCAACCCUGAUCCAGCCAUGCCGCGUGAACGAUGAAGGCCUUAGGGUUGUAAAGUUCUUUCAGCGAGGAAGAUAAUGACGGUACUCGCAGAAGAAGCCCCGGCUAACUCCGUGCCAGCAGCCGCGGUAAUACGGAGGGGGCUAGCGUUGUUCGGAAUUACUGGGCGUAAAGCGCAC